rnacentral:rRNA from 1 species
UACGGAGGUGGCAAGCGUUGCUCGGAAUCACUGGGCGUAAAGGGCGCGUAGGCGGGGAGGUAAGUCGGGUGUGAAAUCCCUCGGCCCAACCGAGGAACUGCGCCCGAAACUGCUUCUCUUGAGUCCCGGAGAGGAAGGUGGAAUUCCCGGUGUAGCGGUGAAAUGUGUAGAGAUCGGGAGGAACACCGGUGGCGAAGGCGGCCUUCUGGACGGUGACUGACGCUGAGGCGCGAAAGCGUGGGGAGCAAACGGG